rnacentral:rRNA from 1 species
GUCUUUUUGUAAAUAAUUUAAAGUCUGGCCUGCCCACUGAUAUUUUAAAUGGCCGUGGUAUUUUGACCGUGCUAAGGUAGCAUAAUCAUUAGUUUCUUAAUUAGGAACUGGAAUAAAAGGUUGAAUAAGAAAAUAACUGUCUCUAUUAAAUUUAAUUAGAAUUUUAUUUUUAAGUUAAAAAGCUUAAUUAUUAUUAAAAGACGAGAAGACCCUAUAGAGUUUAAUUAUUAAGUAAAAAUUAUAUUUUAGUAUUUAAUUAUUUAAUUUGUUUAAUAAUUUAAUUGGGGUGAUUGAAAAAUUUAACAAACUUUUUUUAUUUAUAAACAUAGAUUUAUGGUUAAAUGAUCCAAUAUUUUUGAUUAUAAGAUAAAAUUACCUUAGGGAUAACAGCGUAAUUUUUUUAGAAAGUUCAUAUUAAAAAAAAAGAUUGCGACCUCGAUGUUGGAUUAAAAUUUAUUUUUGGUGUAGGAGCUAGAAGAUUAGGUCUGUUCGACCUUUGAAAUUUUAC